GGCGAACGGGUGAGUAACGCGUGAGGAACCUGCCUCAAAGAGGGGGACGAACAGUUGGAAACGACUGCUAAUACCGCAUAAGCCCACCGGGUCGGCAUCGACCAGAGGGAAAAGGAGCAAUCCGCUUUGAGAUGGCCUCGCGUCCGAUUAGCUAGUUGGUGAGGUAAUGGCCCACCAAGGCGACGAUCGGUAGCCGGACUGAGAGGUUGAACGGCCACAUUGGGACUGAGACACGGCCCAGACUCCUACGGGAGGCAGCAUG
rnacentral:rRNA from 1 species